GCGCGAGUCAUCAGCUCGCGU
rnacentral:rRNA from 3 species